ensembl:lncRNA
UAUGAAGUCAACGUUACCACCCGAACCUUUCAUUCUACUAGAUCAGAGUUACUGACAGUCAGCAUUCAAGCCUCUCCAGUCCUCGUUACUGUUUCUGGCGCAGCGGUUGGGAUUCUUCUCCUACUGAUACUGGUGGCCGUUUCCUGGGUGGUCUGGAGGAAGAGGAUGAACAGACCUCCACCCAUGACCAUGUCCCAAAGACAAUGUGGAAAUUGUGAAGAUGAAAAGUACUACAUCAACAUGGAAACCAUUAACAACCACAGAUAUGACGACCUGAAGACAAGAUGCUGUGCAGGACGGACCGCUCCAGGAGCCACAACCAGAGUUGGAAAUAAUGAAGAUAGAUCAAAGGCUACAGAGACCAUAAAUGAAAUUCCAGAUUCAUUCACAGAGAUGGCCAUUGCUGAUGAAAGUGGGAAUGACUAUGAAGAAGAUGAAAAAAUUUAUGAACAUUUGGGCUGAGCAAUUUUUUAUAAUAUUUUUUACCAUGAUUUAACUUGGUAAGCCAAUUGACAACCAAUUCUUAUUUACAAACUGUCCAAAGCCAUAACAACUGCAAUAAAAUCCUUAAUUGCAUAUGAAUAUAAAAAAUAAACAAAUUACAUUUAAAAACAACAAAAAUAUAUGCAAUGGGAUAAGACAGAGAUGAGAAAGAAUUAUAUAAUA